GCGGGGCUCGGCACUCCCCACUCCCUGCCGUCCCCGACUCCUCCCUCCCCUUCAUCCUGUUCCCAAUCUGUCAUCUUGUCCUGUCGUUAUUCCAUUUGCAGUGUCUCCUAUCCGCACCCCCUACCUGCAGCCCCCCUGGACCGCAGCCUCUCCCUGCCCACAGCGCGGCUCCCCUCCUCGUCCCAGGGGACGGCUGCCUGAUGAACCUUCCCCAAACGCGUCUGUCCCACCACUUCCGGCUCAAGAACCUAUCCGGGCUCCCAAAACCCUGGGCUCCAGCUCAAAGCCCCGUCCAGCCGGGCGAAGCCCCACAGCCCUGACUCACAUGUCCCAGCUCUCCCUCAGCCACGUCCUCUUGCCCGCUCCUUCCACCAGGGACCCACCCCAGCGGCCAAGGAGGGCUCCCGAGGGCACAGGCACACGGAGGGCUGACUUUCAGCCCCGUCCUGCAGUGAAGGAGUGGCCCGUUGGGACAGGCGGCACUCAGGCCCCUAGGAGCUCACACAGCUCACGCUACGCGGCUCAGAAUCAGCUCACUUGGCUGUUUUCCCAUCCUAGACGACGACGUCCCUGAGGACGGGAACCCCAUGCCACACACCAUUAGUAUCCCUCUGACCUGAAUGCUGGGCACGUGGUGGGGGGUCAAUGGGGGGACCUGGAACCCAGCGGUGAGGGGAGCCUGGACACAGGUACCAGGCUCCUGGGAGCAUCCUACCAUCCCUGGGCCGUGCCGAGCCUAUGAUCCACCAACUCGCCACUCCGUCCCCAUGCGACGGCCUUGCUGCCCUCUGCUCACCCCACCCAGGGCCAGAGGGAUGUGCAAAUGCCCACUGGUGCCAAACGCCGGGAAGGGAAGGAAAGUAUGCUAACAAUCCAGCGUUCCCCUCACGGAAAGGCAAGCAUGCAGUCACAAUCCUGCCUGAGAAUGGCACUGCCCUCUGAGAAGUGGUUAUUCUCGAUGUCUCACGCCAAUCUCCUCAGCAAGCUGGAGCUUAUCCUCUGCUCCUUCUGUUGGCCUCCCCUGCCCUUCCUUCUACCCAACUUGUUCUU